CCAAAGAGAGAGACCAGCUACAGAAAGGUGUUGAGAAAGUGUGUUCGCAAGGAUGGAAGAAGCUUGGUAGCAGUUGUUACUACAUCUCUACUGAGUACAAAUCCUGGGAGGAGAGCAGACAGGACUGCAGAGAUAGAGGAGCAGACCUGGUGAUCAUCAACAGCCAAGACAAACAGACAUUUGUCAAUUGGUUAUGUGGAGUAAAGAAAUAUGUCUGGAUUGGUCUGACUGACUCUGUUACUGAGGGGACCUGGAAAUGGGUGGACGACACACCACUGACCACAAGGUACUGGUACAGUGGAGAUCCUAAUGGUGGUGUGUACGAGAACUGUGCCUAUUUCUACUCCCAGUCAUCAGACACAGGAGAAUGGUGGGACUAUGUCUGUUCCUAUCAAUACAGAUGGAUCUGUGAGAAAUAGGAUUCUCUGUACUGCUAGAGACCAUUUCAGACAGAUGUUUUAAAUCCUUAAACCCAGACUUGGAGCAAACAAAAUAGCGAUUGAUUUGCAACGCUUGUAGUUAGCCACUGAUUCCUUCCAAACCGCUCAUUGUUGAAUUUGUGAUUUCCUACUUGUUGUGUAAUGUUUAUGUCCAAUGGUGAUGAGCACCAAUACCUUUAACUAUAGUUUAUCUUCAUAUGACAAGGAUUGAAAAGGAUUUGCCAGUAGAUUGUCAAAGUUAUUCAUGAUGAUGACUGCU